rnacentral:rRNA from 1 species
AUUGAACGCUGGCGGCAGGCCUAACACAUGCAAGUCGAACGAGUGGUGGACGGGUGAGUAAUGUCUGGGAAACUGCGCGAUGGCGGGGGAUAACUACUGGAAACGGUAGCUAAUACCGCAUACCAUCGGAUGUGCCCAGAUGGGAUUAGCUAGUAGGUGGGGUAACGGCUCACCUAGGCGACGAUCCCUAGCUGGUCUGAGAGGAUGACCAUCUACACUGAAACUGAGACACGGUCAAGAGCCCAACGGGAUGCAGCUGGGGGGAAUAGUGCACAAUGGGCGCAAGCCUGGUGCAGUCAUGCCGCUUGUAUGAAGAAGGCUUUCGGUUUGGAAAGUACUGUCGGGCGGGAGGCGUUACUCGCAGAAGAAGCACCGGCUAACUCCGUGCGAGAGGCAGCAGUAAUAC